UAAUGAUGGAGAUUGUAGCACUACCCUGCACACAGACAUGUAAUGGAUUUGCCUAGUCCAUUAUCAGAAGAGUGACCAGGACUGUUCGUCCUGUCAGAGAAGUUUCUCGAGAAGCAUUACAAGGGACUUGUAUGAAUGGCAGAAGAAUUUUAUUUAACUGACCACCCAACCAUUGCCUGCUGUUGGAGACUGAACACUUUAUUGAAAAUUGCUGGGGUGUAGCAAUCAAUGGGUGUCCUUAUUUGCCCUGAGAAGAGUCAGAGAACUCCCUGGGCCUCAUGAGAUGGUGACACCCUGCAGUAGGAACAGUUCCUACCGAUAUCUCUUAAAAGCAGACAGAGGUUCUCAUAGCAUCUGAUCCAUUUCUGGAGACAAACUUUUGUAUGGAGCUGGGUAGCAGUUACUUGAGAUGUCCGGCUGAUUGAUGAGGAUAAUUUCCCUGAGACUCUAACAUUCUGUAGGACUUGGAUAGCUCUAUUACUGUAGAAAAUGUCAGGACGGUGGAGAUUUAGAUAAGUGGUGUGAUGUUAUUGAUGGUAAACAGAAGACUGUGACCUUGAAUCUGAAGAUCUGUGAUGAAGACUGGACGUUUGGGGUCACUCUCUGUUACAGUACUACAAAUCUAACAGUGUUACACUCAGCCACAAAGAGGUUGUCUCUGAUGUCCACACAUAAACCGAAUGGAGUGACUAAAUCACAGUGAAUGUAACGGAGGAACUGUCCGUCCUGAUCUAGGAUGUGGAUACGGUCAUAGUAAAUGUCUGCUGUCAGGAUGUGACUCUGGCUGUCUGUAGUGAUGCCGUAUGGAUUAAAUGAUUGCUUGGUAUUAGAGGGAUGACCAGUGUAUCUAAAUCGGAGUUUUCCUGACUGAUUGACCACCACUACUGCUCUAGCUGUAUAGUCAGCCACACAGAUAUCCAGGUUCCUGUUCUCACUGAGGUAUUUAAUGGAACCACCAGAUGAGUAGAGAGGACGACCCUGAUCAUCAAACUGAAUGCUUUGUUUCUGUGUGGAGCCGGAGUAACGCACGACUUUG